rnacentral:rRNA from 1 species
GGUUCUGAGAGGAAGGUCCCCCACAUUGGAACUGAGACACGGUCCAAACUCCUACGGGAGGCAGCAGUGAGGAAUAUUGGUCAAUGGCCGGAAGGCUGAACCAGCCAAGUCGCGUGAGGGAAUAAGGCCCUACGGGUCGUAAACCUCUUUUGCCAGGGAGCAAUGCCGUCCACGUGUGGACGGAAGGAGAGUACCUGGAGAAAAAGCAUCGGCUAACUCCGUGCCAGCAGCCGCGGUAAUACGGAGGAUGCGAGCGUUAUCCGGAUUUAUUGGGUUUAAAGGGUGCGUAGGCGGCCUGCCAAGUCAGCGGUAAAAUUGCGGGGCUCAACCCCGUACAGCCGUUGAAACUGCCGGGCUCGAGUGGGCGAGAAGUAUGCGGAAUGCGUGGUGUAGCGGUGAAAUGCAUAGAUAUCACGCAGAACCCCGAUUGCGAAGGCAGCAUACCGGCGCCCGACUGACGCUGAGGCACGAAAGUGCGGGGAUCAAACAGGAUUAGAUACCCUGGUAGUCCGCACAGUAAACGAUGAAUGCUAGCCGUCCGGGGGGAUUGACCCCUGGGUGGCACAGCGAAAGCGUUAAGCAUUCCACCUGGGGAGUACGCCGGCAACGGUGAAACUCAAAGGAAUUGACGGGGGCCCGCACAAGCGGAGGAACAUGUGGUUUAAUUCGAUGAUACGCGAAGAACCUUACCAGGUCUUGACAUCUUGCGCUAACCUUAGAGAUAAGGCGUUCCCUUCGGGGACGCAAUGACAGGUGGUGCAUGGUCGUCGUCAGCUCGUGUCGUGAGAUGUUGGGUUAAGUCCCGCAACGAGCGCAACCCUUGUUACUAGUUGCCAGCAUUAAGUUGGGCACUCUAGUGAGACUGCCGGUGACAAACCGGAGGAAGGUGGGGACGACGUCAGAUCAUCAUGCCCCUUAUGACCUGGGCUACACACGUGCUACAAUGGACGGUACAACGAGUCGCAAGCUCGCGAGAGUAAGCUAAUCUCUUAAAGCCGUUCUCAGUUCGGACUGUAGGCUGCAACUCGCCUACACGAAGUCGGAAUCGCUAGUAAUCGCGGAUCAGCAUGCCGCGGUGAAUACGUUCCCGGGCCUUGUACUCACCGCCCGUCAAG